rnacentral:rRNA from 1 species
GAUGAACGCUAGCGGCAGGCUUAACACAUGCAAGUCGAGGGGUAGAAGGAGCUUGCUCCUUUGAGACCGGCGCACGGGUGCGUAACGCGUAUGCAAUCUACCUUUUGCAGAGGAUAGCCCAGAGAAAUUUGGAUUAAUACCUCAUAGUAUGUGAGGAUGGCAUCAUUUUCACAUUAAAGUCACAACGGCAAAAGAUGAGCAUGCGUCCCAUUAGCUAGUUGGUAAGGUAACGGCUUACCAAGGCUACGAUGGGUAGGGGUCCUGAGAGGGAGAUCCCCCACACUGGUACUGAGACACGGACCAGACUCCUACGGGAGGCAGCAGUGAGGAAUAUUGGACAAUGGGCGCAAGCCUGAUCCAGCCAUGCCGCGUGCAGGAUGACGGUCCUAUGGAUUGUAAACUGCUUUUAUACAGGAAGAAACACUACUUCGUGAAGUAGCUUGACGGUACUGUAAGAAUAAGGAUCGGCUAACUCCGUG